UACGUAGGGGGCAAGCGUUGUCCGGAAUCAUUGGGCGUAAAGAGCGUGUAGGCGGUCCGGUAAGUCGGCUGUGAAAGUCCAGGGCUCAACCCUGGGAUGCCGGUCGAUACUGCCGGACUAGAGUUCGGAAGAGGCGAGUGGAAUUUCAGGUGUAGCGGUGAAAUGCGUAGAUAUCUGAAGGAACAUCAGUGGCGAAAGCGACUUCCUGGACCAAUACUGACGCUCAUGUGCGAAAGCGUGGGGAGCAAACAGG
rnacentral:rRNA from 1 species